rnacentral:lncRNA from 1 species
ACUUGGCUUUUGGAAAUUGAAUGGAUUCCUUCCCUCUCCGAGCGGAGCCGAGCAAACCCCCUCCCUCAUAUGCCUUUUGGCUAGCUUUUACGGUUUUCUACUUUCUAGCUCUUAGCUUUACUACCUCUACCGAGAAGAUUUCUCUCGCUUCAGGUUUGCCUAAUCGAAUGAUUCUUUUUUCUCUUGUACCUUAGUAGAAUUCACACCAACCGAAUCUCGACUUAAGUAAGUACAAGCAAGGCAAUUGACUUGAUCAAGAAGGUAUGGAACUUCUCGACGCACCUCUAUCAAUUCCUUCUUUGCCCCAUCUCUCUUCUAUUAUGAAAUUUAUACUUACCCGGUAAUGCCCCAUCCUUUUAGUACUACCUUCGAGGAAUUCCUCUUGAAAGAAAAUAAGCCGUCAACAGUGCCGUCUAGCGCCUUUUAGGCUUAGUCGCCAUCUUCCUAGCCUAGUAAGCGAUAAGGAAGCUAAGCGCGGGAAAGACAGUUUAACCAUAACCAUCCCCUCGUCGAUAGCGGUU